rnacentral:tRNA from 1 species
GGAAGGUUGUCCGAGCUGGCCGAAGGAGCACGCCUGGAAAGUGUGUAGGCGUCACAAGCGUCUCAAGGGUUCGAAUCCCUUACCUUCUG